UACGUAGGCAGCAAGCGUUGUUCGGAGUUACUGGGCGUAAAGGGUGCGUAGGCGGCUUGGUAAGUGUGGUGUGAAAUCUCCCGGCUCAACUGGGAGGGUGCGCUACAAACUGUCUGACUAGAGUGUGGGAUGGGAGAGUGGAAUUCCUGGUGUAGCGGUGAAAUGCGUAGAUAUCAGGAGGAACACCGGUGGUGUAGACGGCUCUCUGGACCAUAACUGACGCUGAGACACGAAAGCGUGGGUAGCAAACAGG
rnacentral:rRNA from 1 species